rnacentral:rRNA from 1 species
ACGUAGGGGGCGAGCGUUGUCCGGAUUUAUUGGGCGUAAAGAGCUCGUAGGCGGUUUGGCAAGUCGGGUGUGAAAUUUCGAGGCUCAACCUCGAAACGCCACUCGAUACUGCCAUGACUGGAGUCCGGUAGAGGAGUGCGGAAUUCCUGGUGUAGCGGUGAAAUGCGCAGAUAUCAGGAGGAACACCAACGGCGAAGGCAGCACUCUGGGCCGGUACUGACGCUGAGGAGCGAAAGCGUGGGGAGCAAACAGGAUUAGAUACCCUGGUAGUCCACGCCGUAAACGUUGGGCACUAGGUGUGGGGGGCUGUCAACGCCCUCCGUGCCGUAGCUAACGCAUUAAGUGCCCCGCCUGGGGAGUACGGCCGCAAGGCUA